CAAGAAAUAGUUUAUUAAAAUACUAACUUUGGAAGUUAGAGAUACUAUUAAGUUUUCUUGA
rnacentral:tRNA from 1 species